GGCCGCCGCAGUAGCGAUAUCGUAACCAGUGAGGUCCGUCCGAUGUGCGAUUGUUGCUGGUCGAAAGCUUCACCAAUACCCCGCCACGUGGACACGGACCGCCGUCCGCGUAGGCGAUUUCCGAAGGCCUUAGCGGGC